rnacentral:lncRNA from 1 species
AAAAAUAUUAAGAAGAUAAGUGCUUUUUCAAAAUCUGUAGAACCCUUGGAGGGGCUGGAACUGCUUUUAUAACUUGAAUUUUCUUGAUUAUAUGAUUCAAUUUUUACGUUUCAUGAAGUUGUUUUCUACAGAAUUAGUGGAUCUGAUUCGGAGAAAACAACUUAAAAAAUGAAUCAUUCAAUGACGAUCAAAUUGUGCAAUUUUAUAGAGUUAAGCACUAUAUUUAUAGAGUCAAUAAUAAUGCUCAUAACCACUCUG